rnacentral:rRNA from 1 species
UACGUAGGGUGCAAGCGUUGUUCGGAAUCAUUGGGCGUAAAGCGCGUGCAGGUGGUUAGGUAAGUCGGGUGUGAAAUCCCUGGGCUCAACCGAGGAAGUGCACUCGAAACUACCUAGCUAGAGGACAGUAGAGGAAGGUGGAAUUCCUAGUGUAGAGGUGAAAUUCGUAGAUAUUAGGAGGAAUACCGGAGGCGAAGGCGACCUUCUGGGCUGUUCCUGACACUGAGACGCGAAAGCGUGGGUAGCAAACAGG